rnacentral:rRNA from 1 species
AGGUAGUGACAAUAAAUAACAAUGGCGGGCCUAUACAGGUCUGCCUUUUGGAAUGAGAGCAAGUUAAAUCGAUCAUCGAGGAUCAAUUGGAGGGCAAGUCUGGUGCCAGCAGCCGCGGUAAUUCCAGCUCCAAUAGCGUAUAUUAAAGUUGUUGCAGUUAAAAAGCUCGUAGUUGGAUUUCUGGCUGGGCAUGUGGGUCCGCUCUUUGAGUUGGCACCAUACAUGUCUGGCCAUCCUUUGGGAGAGCCACAGUGGCAUUAAGUUGUUGGUGUGGGGAUCUCAAUCCUUUACUGUGAAGAAAUUAGAGUGUUCAAAGCAGGCUUACGCCGUUGAAUAUAUUAGCAUGGAAUAAUGACAUAGGACUUUUGUACUAUUUUGUUGGUUUGCGAGCAAAAGUAAUGAUUAACAGGGACAGUUGGGGGUAUUUGUAUUCCAUUGUCAGAGGUGAAAUUCUUGGAUUUUUGGAAGACAAACUACUGCGAAAGCAUUUACCAAAGAUGUUUUCAUUAAUCAAGAACGAAAGUUAGGGGAUCGAAGAUGAUUAGAUACCAUCGUAGUCUUAACCAUAAACUAUGCCCACUAGGGAUCGGCCGAACUGUAUUACACACUCCGUCGGCACCUUAUGAGAAAACAAAAUCUUUGGGUUCCGGGGGGAGUAUGGUCGCAAGGCUGAAACUUAAAGAAAUUGACGGAAGGGCACCACCAGGA